rnacentral:lncRNA from 1 species
CGGAAAUUCUUCCCUCGGAAUCGCCGUCGACAGGCUCAGAAACCGGCUGCUUGUGGUUGUCGCCGACUUGCUCGGCAACCGAUACAGCGGUCUCGCGGCUUAUGAUUUGUCAUCGUGGAAGCGGCUAUUUCUAACCCGGCUCAGUGGCCCUAGUAAGUAUCAAUAUAUAAUAAUUUAAUUCCUUUUUUUGAAUCUUAAAUUUUUAAAUGAAUUAUUAGAGUACGAAAAAAUUAAAUGAAUUAAUCCAAAGUUUAAACCUUUCAACUUUAACAAAGCAAAUAUAUAAAAGUCAGAAUUAAAUUUUGUUAAAAAAGACUAGUUUUUUAAAAUGGUUUAAUUAUGAAAUCCACCCAUUUAUUUUAUGAAAAUUGACAAGUUAACCCUCUAUUUAAAUUUAUCAAAAUUUAGUCAUUGGAUUAUACAAAAAUUGAAGAAAUAAUCUAAUUAUUGACUUUUCUAAAAGGCGCGUAAAAAUCAGCAGCAUCCUGCAAUCUUUUAUUAAGGUCUAUAAAAACAUAUUAGAGCAAUUAACAUUAGACAUGAAGCUAAUAAUAGUCGUCACAUUUCUAAGUUGCUAAUGUUAAGUCUCCUAACUAACUCAAGUUCAUCUUUUGAGGCUCAUAAUUUGGCUUCCAUACUAGUGGCGCCUAUACGACCCCGUUCUUCCCAAUGAUUGCUGGAUUAAUUUCUUAAUUUUCAUACAAAAUAAAAAAAAAUGGAAUUCGCACAUAUUUAAAUAAAUAAUAAUUAAAAAUACUUUUUUUAUUUUAAUUAGUGGGAUUUUAGGGUUUUGAUACGAGGGUAGGAAGUGAAUAAAUGUAGUCGGCGCUGGGUAAGUCUAGAUUGUGGAGGAAGAGCAGAAGGUUAGGAUUGGGGUUUUCUAACCCAUACCCACCCCAUAACUCUCAUAUUAGUCUACCAUACCCACAUUUUCAUAGCCACUUUUUGCCACUUCCAUCCUAUACUUGUAUGGAUGUUAGAAAACAUCUGAUUAUAUUCGUAUAUUCUUUUAAUAUUUUAAUAAUCAGAUUCUUGAUUUAAUCGAUUCAAUUGUCACUCAAAUAAUAAUUAAUUAAAAAUUUUAAAAUAUGUAUAAAAUUAGUUCAACUAUGUUUUAUAUUUUUUUUAUUAAUUUCGAGCGGUUUACUCAAAAGUUAGUAUGAUUCUUAUGUUCGGAUCAGUAUACCAAUAAUCAUCGAUUCAAUCUAUCGGUUUGGUCCAAUUCAGGUAAUACUUCUUCUAAAUUUUUUUUAAUUUGUUUUAUAUUUAUGUGGAUAAAAAAUUAUGUAAAAAAUAUAUUUAUAAAAAAAAUUAAAUUUAGUUGAAAUGAAAAAGUUGAGGAUACGAAAGUUUCUUUUUUUAGAUUAAGUCUCGAAAUGUAUGUUGUUUGAAGAUUUAUUAUGCAUUUAUUUAUUUUAAUAUAUACUUCAUAUUUUAAAAUAUAGAAUUAUAAAAUGUUAUAAUAAAUAAAAUAAUAAUUAAAAAAAAAAAAGACAGAUCACUUGAAGCUUUUAUUUUUAUUUAUUAUUUGGGUACAUAACACAAUGCUAAACCAUGAUCACAGUCACUUUAUGCGUUUAAUAAACUGUAAACUUCUUCUUUUUUCUGACCUUAGUUUCUUGAAUCUUGAUGCUUAGGCGAUGAAAAAUCCUUCGCCGAUGACGUCGCAAUAGAUGCCGGUGGUAAUGCGUAUGUCACCGAUGCUAAAGCCAGCAAAAUCUGGAAAGUCGGUGCCGAUGGCGAGUUCUUGUCUAUCAU